AUUGAACGCUGGCGGCAUGCUUUACACAUGCAAGUCGAACGGUAACAGGCCGCAAGGUGCUGACGAGUGGCGGACGGGUGAGUAAUGCAUCGGAACGUGCCCAGUCGUGGGGGAUAACUACUCGAAAGAGUAGCUAAUACCGCAUACGAUCUAUGGAUGAAAGCGGGGGACCGUAAGGCCUCGCGCGAUUGGAGCGGCCGAUGUCAGAUUAGGUAGUUGGUGGGGUAAAGGCUCACCAAGCCAACGAUCUGUAGCUGGUCUGAGAGGACGACCAGCCACACUGGGACGUAGACACGGCCCAGACGCCUGCGGGAGGGAGCAGUGGGGAAUUUUGGGCAAUGGGCGGAAGCCUGAUCCAGCAAUGCCGCGUGCAGGAAGAAGGCCUUCGGGUUGUAAACUGCUUUUGUACGGAACGAAACGGCUCUGGUUAAUACCCGGGGCUAAUGACGGUACCGUAAGAAUAAGCACCGGCUAACUACGUG
rnacentral:rRNA from 1 species